GUGGGGAAUUUUGGACAAUGGGGGCAACCCUGAUCCAGCCAUGCCGCGUGCGGGAAGAAGGCCUUCGGGUUGUAAACCGCUUUUGUCAGGGAAGAAAUCCUUUGGGUUAAUACCUCGGAGGGAUGACGGUACCUGAAGAAUAAGCACCGGCUAACUACGUGCCAGCAGCCGCGGUAAUACGUAGGGUGCGAGCGUUAAUCGGAAUUACUGGGCGUAAAGCGUGCGCAGGCGGUUUUAUAAGAUCGAUGUGAAAUCCCCGGGCUCAACCUGGGAACUGCAUUGGUGACUGCAAGGCUGGAGUGCGGCAGAGGGGGAUGGAAUUCCGCGUGUAGCAGUGAAAUGCGUAGAUAUGCGGAGGAACACCGAUGGCGAAGGCAAUCCCCUGGGCCUGCACUGACGCUCAUGCACGAAAGCGUGGGGAGCAAACAGGAUUAGAUACCCCAGUAGUCC
rnacentral:rRNA from 1 species